GCGCCCGUAGCUCAGUUGGAUAGAGCGCCGGACUACGAAUCCGUAGGUCGGGGGUUCGAAUCCCUCCGGGCGCG
rnacentral:tRNA from 1 species